GAAUCUUGCGCAAUGAGCGAAAGCUUGACGCAGCGACGCCGCGUGCGGGAAGAAGGCCUUCGGGUUGUAAACCGCUUUCAGGAGGGACGAAGCCACUCGGGUUAAUACCCCAGAGGGUGACGGUACCUCCAGAAGAAGCCCCGGCUAACUACGUGCCAGCAGCCGCGGUAAUACGUAGGGGGCAAGCGUUGUCCGGAUUUAUUGGGCGUAAAGAGCGUGUAGGCGGCUUGGCAAGUCCGUUGUGAAAACUGGAGGCUCAACCUUCAGACGUCGAUGGAAACUGCCUGGCUAGAGUCCGGAAGAGGAGAGUGGAAUUCCUGGUGUAGCGGUGAAAUGCGCAGAUAUCAGGAAGAACACCCGUGGCGAAGGCGGCUCUCUGGGACGGUACUGACGCUGAGACGCGAAAGCAUGGGGAGCGAAC
rnacentral:rRNA from 1 species